rnacentral:rRNA from 1 species
CACGUAGGGUGCGAGCGUUAAUCGGAAUUACUGGGCGUAAAGCGUGCGCAGGCGGUGAUGUAAGACAGAUGUGAAAUCCCCGGGCUUAACCUGGGAACUGCAUUUGUGACUGCAUCGCUGGAGUGCGGCAGAGGGGGAUGGAAUUCCGCGUGUAGCAGUGAAAUGCGUAGAUAUGCGGAGGAACACCGAUGGCGAAGGCAGCCUCCUGGGAUAACACUGACGCUCAUGCACGAAAGCGUGGGGAGCAAACAGG